rnacentral:rRNA from 1 species
UACGUAGGCAGCGAGCGUUGUUCGGAAUUACUGGGCGUAAAGCGCACGUAGGCGGCUUUUUAAGUCAGGGGUGAAAUCCCGGGGCUCAACCCCGGAACUGCCCUUGAAACUGGAGAGCUAGAAUCUUGGAGAGGCGAGUGGAAUUCCGAGUGUAGAGGUGAAAUUCGUAGAUAUUCGGAAGAACACCAGUGGCGAAGGCGACUCGCUGGACAAGUAUUGACGCUGAGGUGCGAAAGCGUGGGGAGCAAACAGG